GACGAACGCUGGCGGCGUGCUUAACACAUGCAAGUCGAACGGAAAGGCCCUGCUUAUGUGGGGUGCUCGAGUGGCGAACGGGUGAGUAACACGUGAGUAACCUGCCCUUGACUUUGGGAUAACUUCAGGAAACUGGGGCUAAUACCGGAUAGGAGCUCCUGCUGCAUGGUGGGGGUUGGAAAGUUUCGGCGGUUGGGGAUGGACUCGCGGCUUAUCAGCUUGUUGGUGGGGUAGUGGCUUACCAAGGCUUUGACGGGUAGCCGGCCUGAGAGGGUGACCGGCCACAUUGGGACUGAGAUACGGCCCAGACUCCUCCGGGAGGCAGCAGUGGGGAAUAUUGCACAAUGGGCGGAAGCCUGAUGCAGCAACGCCGCGUGCGGGAUGACGGCAUUCGGGUUGUAAACCGCUUUCGCCUGUGACGAAGCGUGAGUGACGGUAAUGGGUAAAGAAGCACCGGCUAACUACGUG
rnacentral:rRNA from 1 species